rnacentral:rRNA from 1 species
CCUACGGGUGGCUGCAGUGGGGAAUAUUGGGCAAUGGGCGCAAGCCUGACCCAGCAACGCCGCGUGAAGGAUGAAGGUUUUCGGAUUGUAAACUUCUGUCGCGAGGGACGAAGAAUGACGGUACCUCGUAAGAAAGCGCAGGCGAACUACGUGCCAGCAGCCGCGGUAAGACGGAGGGGGCAAGCGUGGUCCGGAAUGACUGGGCGUAAAGGGAGUGUCGGCGGCCUUGUAAGUUAGAUGUGAAAUCCUACGGCUUAACCGUAGAACUGCAUCUUAAACUGUGAGGCUGGAGUGCAGGAGAGGUGAGUGGAAUUCCUCGUGUAGCGGUGCAAUGCGUAGAUAUUAGGAGGAACACCAGCGGCGAAGGCGACUCACUGGACUGUAACUGACGCUGAGGCUCGAAAGCGUGGGGAGCAAACAGGAUUAGAUACCCGGGUAGUC